rnacentral:lncRNA from 1 species
CAUAAUAUCUGAUAAAAUGAGAUAAAUUAAAGUAAAUGAUAAUAUAAUCUAAUUGAAUUAAGUCCUAAAAUGUGAUAUAAUUUCAUGUUAUCAAACUCCCCCAUACUUAGAUCUUUGCUUGUCCUCAAGCAAAAUACAGUAUAGAAAUCGUUUUAAAAUUUUAGCCAGAUGAAAUUUCAAAACACACAUCAAUUCGUAAUAGGUUGCAAGUGGAUUUUGUUUAGAAGCAACUUGAGUUUAAUCUUGACAUCAACAACCACCGUCACAACCUCAGAUAACCCCACCUUAUGCAAAUCAGUUCGAGUAAUGCCAUUAUAGCUAUCC